rnacentral:tRNA from 2 species
ACAUCUUUAGCUGAAUGGUUAAAAGCGUUUGUCUUCGAAACAAGAGAAUAUUGGUUCAAUUCCAAUAAGAUGUU